rnacentral:piRNA from 1 species
UCUUAUAGAAUCUAGGAGCACAUGCCAG